CAGUAGCCGCGGUAAUACAGAGGGUGCAAGCGUUAAUCGGAAUUACUGGGCGUAAAGCGCGCGUAGGUGGUUUGUUAAGUUGGAUGUGAAAUCCCCGGGCUCAACCUGGGAACUGCAUCCAAAACUGGCAAGCUAGAGUAUGGUAGAGGGUGGUGGAAUUUCCUGUGUAGCGGUGAAAUGCGUAGAUAUAGGAAGGAACACCAGUGGCGAAGGCGACCACCUGGACUGAUACUGACACUGAGGUGCGAAAGCGUGGGGAGCAAACAGGAUUAGAGACCCCCGUAGUCCCUGUCUCUUAUAA
rnacentral:rRNA from 1 species